rnacentral:miRNA from 1 species
CUGCGGGGGAGGAGGGAGGGGG